rnacentral:lncRNA from 1 species
UUCCCAAGUUAAAUAAUUCAAAAAGCCAAGUCUGACUGUGGAUAAUGAAUUUAUUUCAUGUCAUUUCUCUUUUGGACAGGAAAUAGGAAUGAUUUGGGACGUACUCUGAUAUUAUUUCCAGUUCAUCAUGUAUAGAAAGUCUUAGAGGUUUCAAAAACAAGCAUUUGAGAACUUGUGGAGUUGCUGAGCAAAGAGGUUAUUGAGGGAGUAGAGAUCGUCAGAGGAUCCAGCAUGCAACACAGAAGAAAGAGACGUCUCAUUGCCUUCAGGGAGAGUCUUCCUGCCGUUCAGGAUACUAAAUGCAUAUUUAACAACCAUUCCCUUGGAAGAUGCUGCACAUUAACCACUUUAUGUUGCACCAAUCAGCUGUUCGGUUCGAUUGUCCUGCUCAACUGUUCAGGAAUUUUUGGAGGGAUUUUUUUGACUUCUGAAACUCAUCUAAAGAUUUGCUGCAAACCACAACAGAGUGGGGAGCUCAUGAACUUCAAGCCCUGUGAUUAUCAGUGCUUCCAAGAGCUGAUGUCGCUAACCAGUAGUUUUAGGCUUGACCAUCUAAAUACUCACUUAUGCCACAGACAGGUAAGUAUCUUUUGCUUAAUUUUGCUAUAA